rnacentral:rRNA from 1 species
UGGGGAAUUUUGGACAAUGGGGGAAACCCUGAUCCAGCCAUCCCGCGUGUGCGAUGAAGGCCUUCGGGUUGUAAAGCACUUUUGGCAGGAAAGAAACGUCAUGGGUUAAUACCCCGUGAAACUGACGGUACCUGCAGAAUAAGCACCGGCUAACUACGUGCCAGCAGCCGCGGUAUACGUAGGGUGCAAGCGUUAAUCGGAAUUACUGGGCGUAAAGCGUGCGCAGGCGGUUCGGAAAGAAAGAUGUGAAAUCCCAGAGCUCAACUUUGGAACUGCAUUUUUAACUACCGGGCUAGAGUGUGUCAGAGGGAGGUGGAAUUCCGCGUGUAGCAGUGAAAUGCGUAGAUAUGCGGAGGAACACCGAUGGCGAAGGCAGCCUCCUGGGAUAACACUGACGCUCAUGCACGAAAGCGUGGGGAGCAAACAGG